rnacentral:rRNA from 1 species
UACGUAGGGGGCAAGCGUUGUCCGGAAUUAUUGGGCGUAAAGAGCGUGUAGGCGGCCAGAUAAGUCCGCUGUGAAAUCUCGAGGCUCAACUUCGAGCUGUCGGUGGAAACUAUCUGGCUAGAGUCCGGAAGAGGAGAAUGGAAUUCCUGGUGUAGCGGUGAAAUGCGCAGAUAUCAGGAAGAACACCCGUGGCGAAGGCGGUUCUCUGGGCCUUAACUGACGCUGAGGAGCGAAAGCGUGGGGAGCGAACAGG